rnacentral:rRNA from 1 species
CCCUUAGAUGUCCUAGGCCGCACGCGCGCUACACUGACAUGUUCAACAAGUUUCUCCUAGUUCGACAGGACUGGGAAAUCUUUGAACGCAUGUCGUGAUAGGGAUAGAUCAUUGCAAUUAUUGAUCUUGAACGAGGAAUUCCUAGUAAACGCGAGUCAUCAGCCCGCAUUGAUUGCGUCCCUGCCCUUUGUACACACCGCCCGUCGCUCCUACCAAUUGAGUGAUCCGGUGAAUAAUUCGGACUGCUGCAAUGCUUGGAUCCCGAGAAUUGCGGCGGAAAAGUUUAGUGAACCUUAUCACUUAGAGGAAGGAGAAGUCGUAACA